GAGUUACUUUGAGUGAGUGGCGAACUGAUGAGUAACUUGUGGGAAACCUGCCCAGAAGCGGGGGAUAAACCUGGAAUAAGAUGCUAAUACCGCAUAACAACUUGGACCGCAUGGUCCGAGUUUGAAAAAUGGCUUCGGCUAUCACUUUUGGAUGGUCCCGCGGCGUAUUAGCUAGAUGGUGGGGUAACGGCUCACCAUGGCAAUGAUACGUAGCCGACCUGAGAGGGUAAUCGGCCACAUUGGGACUGAGACACGGCCCAAACUCCUACGGGAGGCAGCAGUAGGGAAUCUUCCACAAUGGACGAAAGUCUGAUGGAGCAACGCCGCGUGAGUGAAGAAGGGUUUCGGCUCGUAAAACUCUGUUGUUAAAGAAGAACAUAUCUGAGAGUAACUGUUCAGGUAUUGACGGUAUUUAACCACAAAGCCACGGCUAACUGCUAAUYAGUUCGCCGCCCGGUAAUACGUAGUGGCAGCGUUGUCCGGAUUUAUUGGGCGUAAAGCGACGCGGCGGUUUUUUAAGUYUGAUGUGAAGCCUUCGGCUCAACCGAAGAAGUGCAUCGGAAACUGGGAAACUUGAGUGCAGAAAGGACAGUGGAACUCCAUGUGUAGCGGUGAAAUGCGUAGAUAUUGGAGAACACCAUGGCAAGGCGGCUGUCUGUCUGUAACUGACGCUGAGGCUCGAAAGUAUGGGUAGCAAACAGGAUUAGAUACCCUGGUAGUCCAUACCGUAAACGAUGAAUGCUAAGUGUUGGAGGGUUCCGCCCUUCAGUGCUGCAGCUAACGCAUUAAGCAUUCCGCCUGGGGGAGUACGGCGCAGGGCUAAACUCAAAGAAUUUGACGGGGGCCCCGCACAGCGGGGACCAUGUGGGUUUAAUUUGAACCUACGCGCUAAAACCUUUACCAGGGUCUUGGACUACUAUGCAAAUUAAGAGAUUAGACGUUCCCUUCGGGGACAUGGAUACAGGUGGUGCAUGGUUGUCGUCAGCUCGUGUCGUGAGAUGUUGGGUUAAGUCCCGCAACGAGCGCAACCCUUAUUAUCAGUUGCCAGCAUUAAGUUGGGCACUCUGGUGAGACUGCCGGUGACAAACCGGAGGAAGGUGGGGAUGACGUCAAAUCAUCAUGCCCCUUAUGACUUGGGCUACACACGUGCUACAAUGGAUGGUACAACGAGUUGCGAACUCGCGAGAGUAAGCUAAUUUCCUAAAGCCAGGUUCAGUUCGGAUUGUAGGUUGCAAAUUGCCUACAUGAAGUUGGAAUCGGUUGUAAUCGCGGAUCAGCAUGCCGCUGUGAAUACGUUUUCGGGCUUUGUACACACCGCCCGUCACACCCAGGAGUUGGUAACACCCAAAGUUGGUGGGGUAACCUUUAGGAAUUAGGUGGGUAAGGGGACAG
rnacentral:rRNA from 2 species